GUUGAGAGCAGUGGCGCGCACCUGUAGUCCCAGCUACUCAGAAGGCUGAGGCAGGAGGAUCGCUUAAGCCCAGGAGUUCUGGGCUGGAGUGCUCUAUGCAGAUCCGGUGUCUGCACUAAGUUCGGCAUCAAUAUGGUGACCUCCUGGGAGCAGGAGGGCCACCAGGUUGCCUAAGGAGGGGUGAACUGGCCCAGGUCAGCUCAUCCGAUAACGGGUAAGGACCAUAUGUAGUAUUGGACAACCUAAGGCAGGCACGGUCCCUAAGCCACAUGCUUGUUGUUUAAACAGAGAGGGGGAGAUGUUGAGAGCCACAGCCGAAGAGGCC
rfam:Ictidomys tridecemlineatus contig049532, whole genome shotgun sequence.